rnacentral:rRNA from 1 species
GACGAACGCUGGCGGCGUGCUUAACACAUGCAAGUCGAACGGACAGGCCCGGCUUUUGUGGGGUGCUCGUGUGGCGAACGGGUGAGUAACACGUGAGUAACCUGCCCCUGACUUUGGGAUAACUUCAGGAAACUGGGGCUAAUACCGGAUAGGAGCUCCUGCUGCAUGGUGGGGGUUGGAAAGUUUCGGCGGUUGGGGAUGGACUCGCGGCUUAUCAGCUUGUUGGUGGGGUAGCGGCUUACCAAGGCUUCGACGGGUAGCCGGCCUGAGAGGGUGACCGGCGACAUUGGGCCUGAGAUACGGACCAGACUCCUACGGGAGGCAGCAGUGGGGAAUAUUGCACAAUGGGCGGAAGCCUGAGGCAGCAACGCCGCGUGCGGGAUGACGGCCUUCGGGUUGUAAACCGCUUUCGCCUGUGACGAAGCGUGAGUGACGGUAAUGGGUAAAGAAGCACCGGCUAACUACGUG